UGCAGCCACGUCAAGCCCAGCGCCCAGCCCGCCCGCGGCAGGCACCGCCCAGAAGGCUACCACAGAAUCACUGCGACUCAUGGGCCCUGAUCCCCACUACUGGGCCUCAGGGAUAAAUUAAAAAAUAAAUAAAA